CUGCGCUCCACGAGCUCCCCGGACCGGACCGCCGCAGGUCAGUCCUGCAGCGUUGCACCGCGGGCCUCUGGUGGGGUGGCCGCCAGCCCGCAGCGCCAGGCGCCUCCGCGUCCCUCUGGGACCCCACCCUGCCCCUGGGGCGACGGGCAGCGCUUGCCCUGCUCUGGAAUCCGGAGGAGCUGAGGGCCUGAGCCCCAGCCCAGGCUGCACAACGGGCCGGGAAGCCUCGGGCGCCACCCUCCCGCGCAUGGGCUUGGACAAGCCCCAUCACCGAGCCUCCACUGCCACAGGCCUAACACAGGGACGUCAGCAAUCCCUACUUGGGAAAGCUGCUGAGACGGCUAAGAAGGAGUUGUAUCACUGUCCUCCAGCUCCCCAGCCCCAUGCAAGCCACCUGCACCCACCUCCCUGAGCCUCAGUCUCCCUAGCCAUAAAAUAGGGAUGAGAGAAGUCCAUACAGGGCUCCCCACAGGAGAUCUCUCCACGGAGGAGACGGCAGCAGCUGCCUGGCACCCCUCAGCUCUCAGGAAAAGCAGCUCCUGGGGUUGCCAUGAAAGCUCAGCAGAGCGCCCCAGAGCCUGGCCCCAUGCCUGUGUUCCAGAAGCCCACAGCUUGUCGCAGCCCAGUUGGGGAGCUGCUGGCCUACAGCUCAGCUGGAGCUCCCUGUCACCCCUGCCUCCAAUGGGACACUCCCGUGCAGCUCACAGGUACUGAAAAUGCAGCAUGGGGGUUCCACCCGGGAGUAGUGGCUUCCUGCAAAGCCGGCCCUGGGACUUGGGGAGCAAAGCAACACCUCGGGUCAGACUCAGCCGUGCCAGGUCAUGUGCCCAGCUCUGUGCCUGGAAGACAGCAGAUCCUCGACGUUGAAGGAGGCUUCUGAGCACAGGCUUGCUCCCCACCCCCAGCCUUGCCCUGGGGACUCCUGGUUGGAAGGCAAGUGCUCCUGGCUGGGGCCUUCCAGAGGCCUGCACAACUCCACGCUCAGUGUGGCUCCAGCCUCCUCCACCUCCCAGGCUCAGCCCCAGGAGCUUGAUGCUUGUGGAACCAGGGCUCGAAGGAGGGACUCGGAUGAGCUCAGAACUCAGAAUUCCACCUGGGCCUGUCAGAUUCCGCAGCCCCGCUGGCAGGAAGCGAGCAGGGGACAGCAAGCCGCAGGUUCCCGAGACCAUGCCUGCCGCGGUCCCCGAAUCCGUUCACUCCCAAGGAGCUGCUUAGAAACAAUGCCACCGUCACCAGCACCCCCUCCCCGGGCAGGGCCACGCUUGUCCAGUGGAAAUCUUGGACGCCUAAUGACAUAUUUCUGUCCGGGAAGAAAUCUGAACUCUGAAACCGAACUUGAUUAAACCCCAAACUGCAAGACCUUGCCCGAUGGGACCACUCGGGGACUUUGACUUCUGGGUGUCAGAGCUUAAUUAAAAUAUUCAUCCAGCUGCUCUCCCCUCACCAAGGGGGCCCAGAGGAAUUAAACCAAUAAGCUUAAUUCUAUUAUUCACCUGCCUGUGUACACAGAGAUGCAGAAGACCAUUUACUGGUUCAGAAAAAAAUUAUCAGACGCACCCUGCAAAUGCAGCGUGGGCCGUUCCUGAAUCACGAAAUGGUCCCCUAAACAGAGGUCUACACAGCACUCUGGAGUCUCAGCCCCUGACUCCACACGCACACACAGCUAGUUUUAAUCUCCCUUCCAAGCAAACAAAAAUGCCAAGCAAGUCACUGUAAGGACUUCUGUGCGUAUUAUGAUUUAUGUAUCAUUUAUAACAACACGUAACAUUUACUGAAUUCUCUGUGCCACUGUGCCAAGCCUUCCCCAUUUGGCUCUCACGGAAAUCUUCAUUUCCAGUCCACAAAGUGAACACCACUAUUACCCCCACUUGGCAGAUAAGAAAACCAAGGCUCCGUGAGAUAAAGGGACUUGCAGCCCUGAACUCCCAGGCCACAAAGUCUGAGUUCCUAACUCCUGGAAAUGAGGGCUUCACUGACAUUUUGAUCUUUCUGCAUUACAUUUUAAUUAACUUAUCUUCUAUCCACACACACAGGAUACAAUGCAGAAGGUACAGAGGCCGGGAAGGCCAAAGUCAUUCUCAGGCCCUCCCUUCCUCAGCCCCCUGGUUCCCUCCUCAAAGCAGCCGCUGGGGAAAAAUCCCCGUGUCUCCUCCCAGAGCUGAGGCUUAUUCCAGCAAAUACAGGUCUAUUGGUUUGUUUGUUUUUUUUUUUUUUUUUUUUUUUUAAACCGCAUGUGGAGCAUAACAGGUACGCUAUUUUGCAACUUGCUUUUUUCGUUUCAUAAAAUAUCUUGGAGAGUCCUCCACCUCGUCCCUGACGGCAUGCCAUUCCAUUCAAUAGACAUAAUAGACUGAACCGGGAGAUGGUCAAUAUCCAGCCAGGUUUGACCAGCAAAACCAGUUUGCCAGUUUUGCUGGUCAAAACUGGCCACUUAACAUGGUUCUGCUUUAUAUAGAUAUUUUUUAACCUAGUUUCCUGUGAUCCAUGCUUAGAUGGUUUCCUGCCUUUUGCACCUAAAACGGCGCUGUGUUAAAUAUCUUCUCACACACAGGUAUUCUCUGUAGGACAGGUUCCUACAAAUACCACUACCUGUGAUGUGGGGACGGCAAGUCCCCGCUCUUGGCCUGAAGUCUUCGAAAUGCAGCGGCCACACUGGAUCAUCUCUCAAGCCCUGGCAGGCUCCAUUGUUCUGCCAGACGGUACCCCCCACGUCUGUAACGCUGCAUCGGAGCGGUCACCCACCACCAUCCCAUGGAACACAACCACGGCUUCAGCUCAGGGUCCCCCCCAAAUCACUGUGAAAACAAAUGUUUUCCAGCAAACACGAACUCCCUCCCUGCUGACUGUAUUUGUCAGCCAGGGAAUGAGACAUUUCCCCGUGAUCAAUACAAAUGGAAUAGAAAUCUAUCCCAGGCAGCAGCAGCAAGACUUGGUUUUUUUAAUAAGGGGACCUCCAGAGGAUAUUGCAUUCCUAUGACAACAGCCGACAGACCUUGACUUUUAGUGUCAGAACCUGUUUAAUGCAGAGGUCUGCGGCUGGGGCCCAGCCGAGCCGUGGGUGGGGGUCUCAGGCUCAAAAAGGACUGGUUCCUGAAGGCUGCUGCAGAAACCAGCCCACUGCCCCGGCCCGGUGCCUGGCCUCGGCCCCCGGGCCACCUGUUCACAAAGGCAGCCGGAUUUGCCAGCUGGGCUGUGGCGGAGCUGCUGAGGCCGCUGGGCUGGGCUGGGCUGGCCGGAGGUGAGCUGCAGCCACAGAGCCGGUUAUUUACGGCUCGCCAGUGGUCCCCGACGACUAGGCAUCUCCGGGAUGAUGGCAAUUCGCCUUAAACAAGACCAGGUACCUGGCCAAAGGUGGCAGCGAGCAUGAGCAACUGUACUGACCUUGUUGUAAAUUAAUCUGGUAAUAGAGCGACUCAAAGAGACACCCUGAGUUGGUUACUGUGUGAAAAGACUUCGAGACGGGCCAGCUAUGAACUGUCCAGGACAAAGUAGAGGUUCUGUAAACACGAUGCUUGCCCAAACAGCCUAGGUGCCUCUGAGUUGGGUCUCCGGAUUCUUCUGCCUCUUUUAAAAUUAUCUGCUGAUAGAGACCAGGCAGAAACAGGAAAACAGCUGGCAUGUAAGGGAGAUGGGAUCGGCAGUGAUUUAUUUCCAAGGAUCUGAUAUUUUAAGUUAUUGUUGUUAUGUGCAUGCAAUAAAUCAUAUUUUAAAGUAUCCACUAAUAGUGUUUUCCAAAAAAAAAAAAAAAAAAUUAAAAAAAUUCUUUCAAGUGGAUGGGUUGUUUCUGGAGGCCAAAUCCUUGGGUUUUAUUAAAAGAUGUGACAAUAAGA
rnacentral:lncRNA from 1 species